CCGUUGCAAGGGACUCCGAAGAGCUGUGGCAAGGGGUGAAAAGCCAAUCUAACCUGGAGAUAGCUGGUCUUCUGCGAAACCCGUUUUAGCGGGUCGCCCAUUUAUUGAAAUUAAAUUCGUUACUAGACGGUACGGCACUGGAAGCCACGCAGCUUUUGCUGCAUAAUCGGGGGGCUGUCAUGGCUCUAUCGAUGGCUUCUAACCCCGGAAAUGUAUAGUAUACAAUGAUGGGCAAUCAGACGUAUCGUGAUAAGGCGAUUCGUCAAAAGGGCAACAGCCCAGAACAGGUGUGAAGGUCCCUAACAAGCUACUGAGUGAACACAAGGCAGUCCUCUCCAGUGUCUCUCCACAAAGUGGGCUUGGAAGCAGCCACCUUUUAGCGAUAGCGUAACAGCUCAGUGGUCUGAGCCUCCCUGUAAAAAGGGAAUAUUGCCUGGUGAGGGCGCCAAAAAUGUAACGGGUCUAUAGUAGUUGUCUCUCUGUUCCAGCUUUGGAUAUGGAGGGAGUGGCAGUUUCUUCACUGUCUCACCGAAACCCUGUCCUAGAUGUAAAAUUCUAGGGGUAGCAGAAUACCCAGCAAAUGGAAUGAAGCUUGCUCAUUGAGCCGGUGGACAUAGCUGGGCUAAGAAUGCUGACAUGAGUAGCCUAAAAGGAGGGUAAUUCCCUCUUCGCCGAAAGCAGAAGGGUUUCAUUUGUAAGGUCUAUACCUAGAUGAUUAAAGCAGCGGCCUCUAAGGUUCAGAGUAACAAAUUAGUUCCGAUGAGUAACUCUUCUAUAGGGCAGUAACCUUCCUUAUAAGUUUACCUUCAAGUAAUUAGAGGUAUACUUCAAAGAGUAAGGUUCGGGAAAGAGCCCUACAGAAUCAAUCUUAAAACCGUACCCUAAACCGACACAGGUCUGCAAGUAGAGCAUACUAAGGCGUAGAGAUAAUCGUCUUGAAGGAACUCGGCAAAAUGACCCCGUAACUUCGGGAGAAGGGGUGCCACUAAUAAGUGGCGGCACUAAACAGGGGGGCGCGACUGUUUACUUAAAACACCGGACUCUGCUAACACUAGCGUGGAUGUAUAGAGU
rnacentral:rRNA from 1 species